rnacentral:rRNA from 1 species
UCGAGGGGCAGCAUAUAGAUUGCUUGCAAUUUAUGAUGGCGACCGGCGCACGGGUGAGUAACGCGUAUCCAACCUACCCAUUACUAGGGAAUAACCCAGCGAAAGUUGGCCUAAUGCCCUAUGUAGUCGUUUGAUCGCCUGAGAUUUCGACGAAAGAUUUAUCGGUAUUGGAUGGGGAUGCGUCUGAUUAGCUUGUUGGCGGGGUAAAGGCCCACCAAGGCAACGAUCAGUAGGGGUUCUGAGAGGAAGGUCCCCCACAUUGGAACUGAGACACGGUCCAAACUCCUACGGGAGGCAGCAGUGAGGAAUAUUGGUCAAUGGGCGAGAGCCUGAACCAGCCAAGUAGCGUGCAGGAUGACGGCCCUAUGGGUUGUAAACUGCUUUUAUAUGGGAAUAAAGUGAGGGACGUGUCCCUUAUUGCAUGUACCAUACGAAUAAGGACCGGCUAAUUCCGUGCCAGCAGCCGCGGUAAUACGGAAGGUCCAGGCGUUAUCCGGAUUUAUUGGGUUUAAAGGGAGCGUAGGCUGUUUGUUAAGCGUGUUGUGAAAUGUGGGAGCUCAACUUUUAGAUUGCAGCGCGAACUGGCAGACUUGAGUGCGCACAACGUAGGCGGAAUUCAUGGUGUAGCGGUGAAAUGCUUAGAUAUCAUGACGAACUCCGAUUGCGAAGGCAGCUUACGGGAGCGCAACUGACG